GCUUGUUCAUGCAUGUCAUCUCCACGGAUUCCGCAAGUACCACAUCCUCGCCAAGGGCAUCUCCAACCUCAACACCAUGGUAUUUUUUUUCUCCCCUCUCUCUUUUCUUCCCGCCGGUUCAGUCGAUCGGGCCAGCUUGUUGUUUAUUUGCAAGAUAGGCACACAUUCAUGAUGGCUAUUAAAAAUGGAGACUUCGAAUUCUAGGUCUUCUUGUGGGUAUGCGCGUGGUACUACUUUCUGAUAUGUGGUUGGUUGAUGGUACCUGUAUAUUCCUGGUUCUUUGGAAUAGAUAUUCUACUUGUGCUUUAGUAAUAUGGUGGAGAUUUCAUCUCAUUCCUUCAUUGGAAGGUAACAAUAGAAGAUAAGGUCCGUGACUAGUGGAAAAUAAUUGUGUUCUUUGGAAAUUUUCGUUUUAUAUGUUCUGCUGAUGACCCACUUUCAGUAAAGAUUAAGGUGUUUGCGUUGUAGAAAAAGGUACCAAUUAUCUAACAAUUUCCCUUGAAGUAUUAUAUUCCUGAUCCACCGCUAUGAGUGCUGGCUUGCACCUAUGUACACGCUAACGGCCGGCUGGCCGUAGCUAAUUACUCAUUAGCCCAUAUGUUAAUAACUAGCACCAAAUUAGAGAAUCCCAAAGCCAGUAGGCAAAAGCCCAUGUCGAUCGUGGCUGGCUUAUUUUGAUCGAUGAAUCAAUCAGAUCGUGACCUGUGUAUGUGUAUGUUCUGCACUUUCACCGGCUAGAUAUAGUAACUUCGGUUUAGACUUGAUAGUCUCCGUCAUCCUAGAGCAUAGUAGCAGCUGUUUCUAGUAACCUAACGAUUGAGCACGUGGUGUAGCGGCACAGCAUUGGUCUUCAACAGUGUGUUUGUAGCGUGUCUCUUCCACGACACAUUGAUCGUUGGAGUCUUCGAACCUAGCGUCACAACUCAUGCGAGUGAACCCUAAACUUAAGGUAUAUCAUUACAAAUUAAUAUUGUUGUUAGACUUUUAAAGAGUGUUGGUUAGUAUUUUUGUUAGAUCUACUUAAAUGUGCUUGCAAGUGCUUGAAUGAAUCCAUCAUUCUUUACAGGAUCAAAAUUUCUUGAAUAUUCAUCUUCAGGAGAAAGUUUAGGGCAUAUAUAGCGGGCUACUUCUAUAGAAGGAGGUACAACUGCGUGAAUAAUGUUGGCCUAUAAAGCAGUAGGUAAUUUAAGUUACAUAAUCUGCAAUGUAAUUUUGAAACUCAUGUUGAAAAGAUAUUGUAUUCACUAUUCAGAUUAGUAUUAUUGUCAAGCAUGUAUACAAAUCAAACUCGCUAGAAAACGCACUUGUCAACAUUUAAUACAGCCAACUGAUUUAGCUUUGUGCAAAUUAUUUUCUAUCAACUUCCAGUAUUUCUGGAUUUUUUUGAUCUCUACAUUUCUAUGCACUGUUUUGGUAACUACAGAUCUGUGUUUGCAAUGAAGCAUGCUCUGUUUGUCGGCGCACAUAUUUUUUAGGCAUGUACCUCCCUGUAUCUUCAUUAUGUUCUUUAUAAGGUGUUUAUUAACUCAAUUUACAUAUGAAUGGUCUAUUCAUAAGGCUCUCUUUUCUUUGUCAAUAAAGUUGAGUGUUAUAGCUAGGACUGUAAAGAAGUGUUCCAAUUAUGAUAUAUUAAAGCCCUUUAGAGGUCGACGCAUGCUGGAUGAUGCAACGAUUAUUUUGGUGCUUGCUUUGACUUAGGUGUUCAGAGAAGUAAAACUUCAACUAACGUGUUUAGUGAGCAUCAAACAUCCAUCUCAAGAUAAGGUAUGCUCAUUUCUCUACUAUUUGGAAUUCAACCUGGCUGAGGAACAAUUUAUUAUUGAUCAUUGUUUUUGCAAUACGAAUGCUUAUUGUAGUUCCUGCUUGGCUUGGGAAAUCUAAACAAGAAUGUUGCUCUUGCUACACUCCAAAGUACCGACCUAGAAUGUAAAACAAAAAUUGAGGGUGUCAAACUUGGUAAUUGAUUCUUGAUUGACAGGACCAAUAACAAAACUGUUGGUCAUAUAGCAAGAUUAACUUUCACAUGACCUUGAACCUUUGUAUGUUGCUCUUUGUUUAAAUUUUACUGCCCUAUUAACUUGAUUUUCUUUGAUGGCACCUUACUUUUCUCAUUUCUUUGUUGUUGUAGAUUGCAAGAUAAAUCGAUGAUGCGUUGCUCAGGAGUUGAUUGCAAGAUCAACGAGGCGGCUACUACUAGAUAGUUGUAGAUUAGAUUUUAGAAUGUCAUUCGGGUCAAUGUUCCAAACAUUAUGUUUUAGAUGGCUGACAUGUUGAUUGCAAGGUUGAGAAUCAGACUACUACUAGAUAGCUUCACAUAUUGUAAUCCUUGUAUAAUGUUCUUUGUAAAGCCACUGAGUUGAAUUAAUAUAUGUGACCUUUUUAAUUAUUAUGUUUG
rnacentral:lncRNA from 1 species